AACGAACGCUGGCGGCAGGCUUAACACAUGCAAGUCGAGCGCCCCGCAAGGGGAGCGGCAGACGGGUGAGUAACACGUGGGAACAUACCCAUCUCUGCGGAACAACUCCGGGAAACUGGAGCUAAUACCGCAUACGCCCUUUGGGGGGAAGAUUUAUCGGAGAUGGAUUGGCCCGCGUUGGAUUAGCUAGUUGGUGGGGUAAAGGCCUACCAAGGCGACGAUCCAUAGCUGGUCUGAGAGGAUGAUCAGCCACAUUGGGACUGAGACACGGACCAAGAUCCUACGGGAGGCAGCAGUGGUGAAUAUUGGACAAUGGGCGCAAGCCUGAUCCAGCCAAGCCGCGUGAGUGAUGAAGGCCUUAGGGUUGUAAAGCUCUUUCACCGAUGAAGAUAAUGACGGUAGUCGGAGAAGAAGCUCCGGCUAACUUCGUGCCAGCCGCCGCGGUAAUAC
rnacentral:rRNA from 1 species